UGGAGGUCUCGCUCCUCACUGACAAGCGAUCUGCGAUCCAGCCCGAGAGUCCGAAAGGUUUUCCUUCCCUCGGCCAGCAAGUCCUGAGCCUUCUGAUCUAGAUAUGGUGGCACGUCGGAUGAGAGGUAAACUUNNNNGCUCCCAAGCGAUCAUCAGCCGGUUCGAUAUUAACUCGUUCGAACCGCGGGACGACACCGCCCGGAUGUGGUGAGACAACCAGCGUCUUCGUUGGCUCGUCAAGAU
rnacentral:misc_RNA from 1 species